rnacentral:rRNA from 1 species
GCAGUCGAGCGGACCGAUGGGAGCUUGCUCCUUUAGGUUAGCGGCGGGCGGGUGAGUAACACGUGGGCAACCUGCCCUGCAGACUGGGAUAACUUCGGGAAACCGGAGCUAAUACCGGAUAACACCGAAAACCGCAUGGUUUUCGGUUGAAAGGCGGCUUUUAGCUGUCACUGCAGGAUGGGCCCGCGGCGCAUUAGCUAGUUGGUGAGGUAACGGCUCACCAAGGCGACGAUGCGUAGCCGACCUGAGAGGGUGACCGGCCACACUGGGACUGAGACACGGCCCAGACUCCUACGGGAGGCAGCAGUAGGGAAUCUUCCGCAAUGGACGAAAGUCUGACGGAGCAACGCCGCGUGAGCGAAGAAGGUCUUCGGAUCGUAAAGCUCUGUUGUCAGGGAAGAACAAGUGCCGUUCGAACAGGGCGGUACCUUGACGGUACCUGACGAGGAAGCCACGGCUAACUACGUGCCAGCAGCCGCGGUAAU